rnacentral:rRNA from 1 species
AGUUCAGAUUGCAGUCUGCAACUCGACUGCAUGAAGUCGGAAUCGCUAGUAAUCGCGGAUCAGCAUGCCGCGGUGAAUACGUUCCCGGGCCUUGUACACACCGCCCGUCACACCAUGAGAGCCGGUAAUACCCGAAGUCCGUAGCCUAACCGCAAGGAGGGCGCGGCCGAAGGUAGGACUGGUAAUUAGGGUGAAGUCGUAACAAGGUAGC